rnacentral:rRNA from 1 species
CCUACGGGAGGCAGCAGUGAGGAAUAUUGGUCAAUGGUCGGGAGACUGAACCAGCCAAGCCGCGUGAGGGAUGAAGGUACAGAGUAUCGUAAACCUCUUUUGUCAGGGAACAAAGGCGGGGACGUGUCCCCGGAUGAGUGUACCUGAAGAAAAAGCAUCGGCUAACUCCGUGCCAGCAGCCGCGGUAAUACGGAGGAGGCGAGCGUUAUCCGGAUUUAUGGGGUUUAAAGGGUGAGCAGGCGGUCUGUUAAGUCAGCGGUCAAAGCCCGGGGCUCAACCCCGGCCCGCCGUUGAAACUGGCAGUCUCGAGUUGGAGAGAAGUAUGCGGAAUGCGCGGUGUAGCGGUGAAAUGCAUAGAUAUCGCGCAGAACUCCGAUUGCGAAGGCAGCAUGCCGGCUCCACACUGACGCUGAGGCACGAAAGCGUGGGUAUCGAACAGGAUUAGAUACCCCGGUAGUC